ensembl:processed_transcript
GAUAACAAAAAUAAAAUCCACACGUUUCCAUGGUAACGGACGUGGCGUUCUCCAUCGGACAAUCAUGGCGGAUGAUUUGGACGAUUUACUUGAUGAAGUCGAAUCAAAGUUUUGUUGCAACACUUCGGAGUCUAAACAGACAAGCCGUGUUAUGAAACAUACGGAUCAAAAGUGUGACAAUCUCGAAGAAAGGAAACUGCCAAGAAAACAAGGACGUAAAAGAGUUGAAAAUGAGAUAGAUAUUGACGCUAUGCUGCAUGAAAUACUGGAUGAUGAUGUUGAUACACCAACCAGCACACAUCUGUAAAAUCUUUUAUGAACCAAACAGGAACCCAGUCCAGCAAAGGCAUCCUCAAGUGCUCAGACAAUCUCCAAGAAAUGUUGCCCUGUGUUUCUUGGUGGAAGCUCUGUUGCACACGGCAUUGGAACCAGCGUUUCCGAAAGGGCCUGCAAUCGAUUAAGAUGUACAUAUUGCGACUUCAGCGUAAUCACCUUUGAUGAUCAUGAAUGGGACUCG